GUCCAUGGCCAUACCGCUUAACAUGCUGAUCUCGUUUGAUCUUGGAAGCUAAGUACUUGGAUGGGAGACCAUCUGGAAAUAUCCAGUGUGGUGGGCU
rnacentral:rRNA from 1 species